CACGGGGGGAGCAAGCGUUGUUCGGAAUCACUGGGCGUAAAGGGCGUGUAGGCGGUUCGGUAAGUGGAAUGUGAAAUCCCUCGGCUCACCCGAGGACCUGCAUCCCAAACUGCCGAGCUUGAGUAUGGGAGAGGAUGAGGGAAUUCCUGGUGUAGCGGUGAAAUGCGUAGAUAUCAGGAGGAACACCUGUGGCGAAGGCGAAUCUCUGGGCAGUUCCUGACGCUCAUGCACGAAGGCUAGGGGAGCAAACGGG
rnacentral:rRNA from 1 species